UGAGGAAUAUUGGACAAUGGGGGCAACCCUGAUCCAGCCAUGCCGCGUGCAGGAAGACGGCCCUAUGGGUUGUAAACUGCUUUUGUACGGGAAGAAGCCCACCUACGUGUAGGUGGUUGACGGUACCGUAAGAAUAAGCACCGGCUAACUCCGUGCCAGCAGCCGCGGUAAUACGGAGGGUGCAAGCGUUAUCCGGAAUCAUUGGGUUUAAAGGGUCCGUAGGCGGGCGUCUAAGUCAGUGGUGAAAUGCAGGGGCUCAACUCCGGCACUGCCAUUGAUACUGGACGUCUUGAAUUAUUGUGAAGUGGCCGGAAUAUGUAGUGUAGCGGUGAAAUGCUUAGAUAUUACAUAGAACACCGAUUGCGAAGGCAGGCCACUAACAAUAUAUUGACGCUGAUGGACGAAAGCGUGGGUAGCGAACAGG
rnacentral:rRNA from 1 species